rnacentral:rRNA from 1 species
GACGAACGCUGGCGGCGUGCUUAACACAUGCAAGUCGAACGGUAAGGCUCCAGCUUGCUGGGGUACACGAGUGGCGAACGGGUGAGUAACACGUGGGUGACCUGCCCUGCACUUCGGGAUAAGCCUGGGAAACUGGGUCUAAUACCGGAUAGGACCGCACCGUGAGGGUGUGGUGGAAAGUUUUUUCGGUGUGGGAUGGGCCCGCGGCCUAUCAGCUUGUUGGUGGGGUAAUGGCCUACCAAGGCGGCGACGGGUAGCCGGCCUGAGAGGGUGGACGGCCACAUUGGGACUGAAACACGGCCCACACUCCUACGGGAGGCAGCAUUGGGGAAUAUUGCACAAUGUGUCGGAAGCCUGAUGCAGCGACGCCGCGUGAGGGAUGACGGCCUUCGGGUUGUAAACUCCUUUCACCAUCGACGACGGGUUUCUGACGAUAGAUGGAGAAAAAACCCCGGCUUAUUACGUGCCACCAGCCGUGGUAAUACUUAGGGUGCGAGCGUUGUCCGGAAUUACUGGACGUAAAGAGUUCGUAGGUGGUUUGUCGCGUCGUCUGUGAAUUCCGGGGCUUAACUCCGGGCGUGCAGGCGAUACGGGCAUAACUUGAGUACUGUGGGGGAGACUGGAAUUCCUGGUGUAGCGGUGAAAUGCGCAGAUAUCAGGAGGAACACCGGUGGCGAAGGCGGGUCUCUGGGCAGUAACUGACGCUGAGGAGCGAAAGCAUGGGGAGCGAACAGGAUUAGAUACCCUGGUAGUCCAUGCCGUAAACGGUGGGCGCUAGGUGUGGGUUUCCUUCCACGGGAUCCGUGCCGUAGCUAACGCAUUAAGCGCCCCGCCUGGGGAGUACGGCCGCAAGGCUAAAACUCAAAGGAAUUGACGGGGGCCCGCACAAGCGGCGGAGCAUGUGGAUUAAUUCGAUGCAACGCGAAGAACCUUACCUGGGCUUGACAUAUACAGGAUCGCGCCAGAGAUGGUGUUUCCCUUGUGGCUUGUAUACAGGUGGUGCAUGGUUGUCGUCAGCUCGUGUCGUGAGAUGUUGGGUUAAGUCCCGCAACGAGCGCAACCCUUGUCUUAUGUUGCCAGCACGUUGUGGUGGGGACUCGUAAGAAACUGCCGGGGUUAACUCGGAGGAAGGUGGGGAUGACGUCAAAUCAUCAUGCCCCUUAUGUCCAGGGCUUCACACAUGCUACAAUGGUCGGUACAGUGGGUUGCCAGUCCGUGAGGGCGAGCUAAUCCCGCAAAGCCGGUCUCAGUUCGGAUCGGGGUCUGCAACUCGACCCCGCGAAGUCGGAGUCGCUAGUAAUCGCAGAUCAGUAACGCUGCGGUGAAUACGUUCCCGGGCCU